GAUGAACGCUGACAGAAUGCUUAACACAUGCAAGUCAACUUGAACUUCGGUUUGGGUGGCGGACGGGUGAGUAACGCGUAAAGAACUUGCCUCACAGCUAGGGACAACAUUUGGAAACGAAUGCUAAUACCUGAUAUUAUGAUUUUAGGGCAUCCUAGAAUUAUGAAAGCUAUAUGCGCUGUGAGAGAGCUUUGCGUCCCAUUAGCUAGUUGGAGAGGUAACGGCUCACCAAGGCGAUGAUGGGUAGCCGGCCUGAGAGGGUGAUCGGCCACAAGGGGACUGAGACACGGCCCUUACUCCUACGGGAGGCAGCAGUGGGGAAUAUUGGACAAUGGACCAAGAGUCUGAUCCAGCAAUUCUGUGUGCACGAUGAAGUUUUUCGGAAUGUAAAGUGCUUUCAGUUGGGAAGAAAAAAAUGACGGUACCAACAGAAGAAGUGACGGCUAAAUACGUGCCAGCAGCCGCGGUAAUACGUAUGUCACAAGCGUUAUCCGGAUUUAUUGGGCGUAAAGCGCGUCUAGGUGGUUAUAUAAGUCUGAUGUGAAAAUGCAGGGCUCAACUCUGUAUUGCGUUGGAAACUGUGUAACUAGAGUACUGGAGAGGUAAGCGGAACUACAAGUGUAGAGGUGAAAAUUCGUAGAUAUUUGUAGGAAUGCCGAUGGGGAAGCCAGCUUGCUGGACAGAUACUGACGCUGAAGCGCGAAAGCGUGGGGUAGCAAACAGG
rnacentral:rRNA from 1 species